rnacentral:rRNA from 1 species
GAUGAACGCUGGCGGCGUGCUUAACACAUGCAAGUCGAACGGAAAGGCUCCUGCUUGCAGGGGUACUCGAGUGGCGAACGGGUGAGUAACACGUGGGUGAUCUGCCCUGCACUUCGGGAUAAGCCUGGGAAACUGGGUCUAAUACCGGAUAGGACGAUGGUUUGGAUGCCAUUGUGGAAAGUUUUUCGGUGUGGGAUGAGCUCGCGGCCUAUCAGCUUGUUGGUGGGGUAAUGGCCUACCAAGGCGUCGACGGGUAGCCGGCCUGAGAGGGUGUACGGCCACAUUGGGACUGAGAUACGGCCCAGACUCCUACGGGAGGCAGCAGUGGGGAAUAUUGCACAAUGGGCGCAAGCCUGAUGCAGCGACGCCGCGUGGGGGAUGACGGCCUUCGGGUUGUAAACUCCUUUCGCUAGGGACGAAGCGUUUUGUGACGGUACCUCGAGAAGAAGCACCGGCUAACUACGUG